rnacentral:rRNA from 1 species
CCUACGGGUGGCAGCAGUGAGGAAUAUUGGUCAAUGGGCGCGAGCCUGAACCAGCCAAGUAGCGUGAAGGAUGACUGCCCUACGGGUUGUAACCUUCUUUUAUAAAGGAAUAAAGUGAGGCACGUGUGCCUUUUUGUCUGUACUUUAUGAAUAAGGAUCGGCUAACUCCGUGCCAGCAGCCGCGGUAAUACGGAGGAUCCGAGUGUUAUCCGGAUUUAUUGGGUUUAAUGGGAGCGUAGAUGGGUUGUUAAGUCAGUUGUGAAAGUUUGCGGCUCAACCGUAAAAUUGCAAUUGAUACUGGCAGGCUUGAGGACAGGUGAGGUAGGCGGAAUUCGUGGUGUAGCGGUGAAAUGCGUAGAUAUCACGAAGAACUCCGAUGGCGAAGGCAGCUUACUAAACUGCCACUGACAUUGAUGCUCGAAAGUGUGGGUAUCAAACAGGAUUAGAUACCCUUGUAGUC